UCCCGCCUGCGAGUGUGAGCUCGCGUCUGGUGCGGAGCCGCGCUGCGCGGCAGGGGUGCGGCCGGGUCUUGCCCCAGAGUCCCGAGCUGGGAGGGAAGGCCGGCCGUGCCCGGGACGCCCCCUGCCGUCUGUCCGGAGACCCUGCCGCGGGCUGUGCCUGCCAGGGUGUGUUUACGUUCCGCCGGGCAACGCUUCCCCCGGAGGCCCUCUGGUGGAGACAGAUUCCAUCUCACCAUGAACCACUGACAUCAAACUCGUGAAGCAUUUCCAUUUGGGGUUGAAUCGUUGGAAGGACUUCAUGUUCAGAUAGGGUUUGGAGAUGGGGUGAAUUAUUUCCAUUUUGGCCCUGAGUAGCUUGUACUGGACCAACUAACCAGUGACAGCAGUGAAACUAAAGUACACAAGCAACUGCACAGAGGCACUGAGGUGUAGCCUGUUCAGAUGACGUGAU